rnacentral:rRNA from 1 species
UACGAAGGGGGCUAGCGUUGCUCGGAAUGACUGGGCGUAAAGGGCGCGUAGGCGGCUUGCACAGUCAGGCGUGAAAUUCCUGGGCUCAACCUGGGGACUGCGCUUGAGACGUGUGGGCUUGAGUGGGGAAGAGGGUCGUGGAAUUCCCAGUGUAGAGGUGAAAUUCGUAGAUAUUGGGAAGAACACCGGUGGCGAAGGCGGCGACCUGGUCCUUGACUGACGCUGAGGCGCGAAAGCGUGGGAAGCAAACAGG